rnacentral:tRNA from 1 species
GCGCACUUACGAGAUUCGCUGGACAGGACUGAAAAUCCUGGUGUCGGCGGUUCAAUCCCGUCCCUGCCCACCA